AUCAAGUGAGUGUAUAGUCACUUUCAUCUUACACAUAAAUAUGAAGUAUUUUAUGAAAUACGUGUUAUGUGUAUAUUUAUAUAUAUUGUUGUUUAUAUGCGUAAGUGCAUAGUUACUUUCUUCUAAUACAUAAAUAUAAAGUAUUAGCUAUGAAAUACGUGCUAUGUGUUAUAUAUUAAUUAUCUAUUUGAGAUGGAUUUGGAAUUGAUGUUUUUAUACGGGUGUUAAAUGAUUUAAAUUGUGUUUGUAUUUAUAUCUACAAAAAUGUUGGGUAGAACAUGGGUAGAUGGAAUAGUUGGUGACGAUGCGACUUCGUGCCUAUUGAGUAAGCCCUGGUGACUAUGAGACGUAGUGCCAAUUGUAUGAACCCAGGUGACUAUGAGACGUAGUGCCUAUUGUGUAAGCCCUGGUGACUAUGAGACGUAGUGCCAAUUGUAUGAACCCAGGUGACUAUGAGACGUAGUGCCUAUUGUGUAAGCCCUGGUGACUAUGAGACGUAGUGCCAAUUGUAUGAACCCAGGUGACUAUGAGACGUAGUGCCUAUUGUGUAAGACCUGGUGACUAUGAGACGUAGUGCCAAUU
rnacentral:lncRNA from 1 species